rnacentral:rRNA from 2 species
CAUCGAUGAAGAACGUAGCGAAAUGCGAUACUUGGUGUGAAUUGCAGAAUCCCGUGAACCAUCGAGUCUUUGAACGCAAGUUGCGCCCGAGGCUAUCUGGCCGAGGGCACGCCUGCCUGGGCGUCAUGCC